rnacentral:rRNA from 2 species
GAACGCUGGCGGCAGGCUUAACACAUGCAAGUCGAGCGCACUCUUCGGAGUGAGCGGCAGACGGGUGAGUAACGCGUGGGAAUCUACCCAUCUCUACGGAAUAACUCAGGGAAACUUGUGCUAAUACCGUAUACGCCCUUCGGGGGAAAGAUUUAUCGGAGAUGGAUGAGCCCGCGUUGGAUUAGCUAGUUGGUGGGGUAAUGGCCUACCAAGGCGACGAUCCAUAGCUGGUCUGAGAGGAUGAUCAGCCACACUGGGACUGAGACACGGCCCAGACUCCUACGGGAGGCAGCAGUGGGGAAUAUUGGACAAUGGGCGCAAGCCUGAUCCAGCCAUGCCGCGUGAGUGAUGAAGGCCCUAGGGUUGUAAAGCUCUUUCAACGGUGAAGA